AGAUCAGAUUGGACUCUCCUAUGCCUCCUGGAGAACUGCAGUGAUACUUACAACAAUUUACUGUAGAUAUCUGCUUUCUUCAUCUUUGUGUCAGUGUUCUGAGUACAGAUGGUUUACAUAACAAAUGAGCCCUGGAGUAAGGAUAUUAUCAAUACUGAUACUUGGAGAUUUAUAGCUUUAAAUAUAGAGAAAAUUCAUAAACACUUGGUCUUAUUUAGCAUAUAUUAUAAUGAUCUUGUGUUUCAAAGUAUCCUUAUGUUUAAUACUUAUUUGAUGUAAUACAUUAUUUGAUACAUAUAUACAUAUAUGCAUGCAGAUUAGACUCACCAAAUAUGAUCUUUGAUGGCAUAAGGAGAUCAAAAUUAUUUUAAGUCUGAGCUUGGUAGUUUCACAUGGCUUAAUCCAGUGCUGUCCUCAUAAGCAAUACUAUCCUUGCGUGUAGAGGUCUUCAUCUCAGAGACAAAUGCUCAAGGCAUUCUGAAAUUCAUAUUAUGAUUAUAAUGUCCCACAUAAGCCUAAGACACAGGAUACCAUCAAGGGACUUGCUGUGAGGAUGUAAGCGGGUUUUCCCUGGAGAGGAAUAUGCAGCUCUGUUCUUUUAAACAUAGAGUAAUUGUUUAUUUCUUUUCUUUUUAAGAGCAGUUCAUUUUCAAGCUGGACAGAUUGGCAAACACUGGAUGCGAGGUUUACUUUAGUUUAGAAGCUUCACUGCCGCACUGGAGUGUCAAUCAAAAUUCCACAGCCAUUCUUAGAUACUUGGAGGUGGGGCUGCCUGGUGAGCAGCAGUGAUUUGACCAGGCACUUUGAGCAAACAGGACCAGAGUUGUCAGUGUGACUGUAACCUUGCAACUGCAUUUUGACAGUUCCUUUAAACUUGUGGCCUUGCAUUCUGUCAUCGGACUUCUAACUGGAGCAGAGAGUUCAUGCCAAGUGGUUCUCUGAAUGUCGAGCAGGAAGAUCACACUGCUUCAAACAACAGCUACUGAAAACACCAAAGACAUAUUAUUUUCUAUGUGGUGAAAUUUGAAAUAAGCUAUUGUUAGAUCCUGUUGUGAAUACAUGGGAAUCAGAUCUGCCUUCUGAAAUCUGGGAGCAAUUGGUGGAUGGAGCCUUAAGCCUUUCAAAGGUAAGCUAUAUCUGUUUUUCUUAAAUUAAAAUAAAAUAAAAGAUGAAAAGUUUUUCUACUUUUAAGAUAAGAGAAGAUAAUAGUGUUCUAAAAUACUUUUUCUAACAAAAAUGUAAAAAAGA